UGUGUCGUGGGGAAAGUCCCCGUGCCUGAGGGCAGCGAGUGUCACCAGUGGACUGGAGACCUCCACAGCAGCGAGCAGCGGCGAGGCUCUUGGGGCUGAG
rnacentral:RNase_MRP_RNA from 1 species